GAUUCUUCUUCCAAAUCUGAUUCUGAUUCUGAUUCUGAUAAGAAAUCUAAUCAUUCUGGUUUGAAAUCAGACUCGGAACCAAAAUCCAGUGAGGUAAAGAAAAUACGAAAGAAAAAGAUCACAGGCUGCUCAUGUGGAGGGACUUGAUAAGCUGGAAUGUAAAAAGUCUGACUCAGAUUCAAAUUCAAAGUCAAGCGAUGAUUCUUCUUCCAAAUCUGAUUCCGGUUCUGAUUCUGAUAAGAAAUCUAAUCAUUCUGGUUUGAAAUCCGACUCGGAAUCAAAAACUAAUGAGGUAA